rnacentral:lncRNA from 1 species
UACACGCACACACACACACACACACACACACACACACACUCACACGCACACGCACACACACACACACACACGCACACACACUCACACACACACUCACAUGUGGAGGGCAAAGUCCACCAGCACCAGCACACCCACUACCAGCGCUAGGGUGCCUCGGGCGGGCUCGUGGCGGCACAGCCAGCGGCAGGGUGGGGGGCGGGUCCCCCCGGCCCGCGAGGCGCACCCNNNNNNNNNNNNNNNNNNNNNNNNNNNNNNNNNNNNNNNGGCUCGUGGCGGCACUGCCAGCGGCAGGCUGGGGUGGAGGGCCACAGGGAAGGACAGACCGUGGGGCCAUCUCCCCGUGCCCCGUGAGACGCACACACGUGGACGCGCGCGCACACACACACACACACAGUCAGACUCCAUCUCCCCGUGCCCCGUGAGACGCACACACACGUGGACGCACACACACACAUGACAUACCUCUGGACACACAUAGACACACACACACUCACACACACUCACAUGUGCAGGGCAGAGGCCACCAGCACCAGCACACCCACUACCAGGGCUAGGGUGCCUCGGGUGGGCUCGUGGCGGCACUGCCAGCGGCAGGCUGGGGUGGAGGGCCACAGGGAAGGACAGACCGUGGGGCCAUCUCCCCGUGCCCCGUGAGACGCACACACGUGGACGCGCGCGCGCACACACACACACACAUACAUGCAGACUGAGAAGCCUUUGGGAAGGCCUGUAUUGUAACCGCAGUGCGCAUGUGGCGACCGGCUAGCUCAUGAAGGAAUCCCUUGGCCCCGUGAGAAGGAUUUCACGGAGGCCAUGGUCACCCCCCCACCCUGGCCUGGCAGGAGAUCUGAGAGGCACCCUGGCUUUGCAAACCAAAAACUCCGACCCCGUCCCCGCGCCUGCCUGCCCGUGUCCCUGCCCUGGCUAUUUUUGCCACCACCUGUCCUGGUGUCCAGGAGUCCACCAGCACCCUGGAGGGGGUCGGGCGGGGCAGUCCUGGGCCCUGUCCUGAGCGGCUGGAGCCAGCGGGGGGUGACUUUUGUCCCACCCGGCCUCCCACUGCCAGAGAGGAGGGGCCUUUGAUAUUUAUAUUUAAGAAAUUAAGAUAAUAAUAUUAAUAAUGAUGAAAGGAGGGCUGGGCCACAGAGACUUGGCCUCUCCCGGGGCCCAGGACCCACCUGGCCUUGUGGCCAUGCUGGAUGUCCACCCUGGCCUGGGCACCCAUCACCCUGCUACCCGUGGCCCCAGACCUCUGUAAUUUUAUAUAGAGUUUGAGCUGAAGCUUCGUAUAUUUAAUUUAUUUUGUUAAACAAGAAAACGUGCAUCCUUUUCCUCGAAGCUGGUGUUC